AACGCGAAGAACCUUACCUGGGCUUGACAUGCUGAGAACUUUCCUGAGAUGGAGGGGUGCCUUCGGGAACUCAUACACAGGUGCUGGAUGGCUGUCGUCUCCUCGUGUCGUGAGAUGUUGGGUUAACUCCCGUAACGAGCGCCCCCCCUGUCCUUAGUUACCAUCACAUAAUGGUGGGCACUCUAAGGAGACUGCCGGUGACAAACCAGAGGAAGGAGGAGAUGACGUCAAGUCGUCCUGGCCCUUACGGGCUGGGCUACACACGUGCUACAAUGGGCGGUACAGAGGGUUGCCAAGCCGCGAAGUGGAGCUAAUCCCGAAAAACCGUUCGUAGACCGGAUCGGAGUCUGCAACUCCACUCCGUGAAGUCGGAAUCGCUAGUAAUAUCGAAUCAGAACGUCGAGGUGAAUACCUUCCCGGGCCUUGUACACACCG
rnacentral:rRNA from 1 species